rnacentral:rRNA from 1 species
AUUAUUGGGCGUAAGGGCUCGCAGGCGGUUUCUUAAGUCUGAUGUGAAAGCCCCCGGCUCAACCGGGGAGGGUCAUUGGAAACUGGGGAACUUGAGUGCCGAAGAGGAGAGUGGAAUUCCACGUGUAGCGGUGAAAUGCGUAGAGAUGUGGAGGAACACCAGUGGCGAAGGCGACUCUCUGGUCUGUAACUGACGCUGAGGAGCGAAAGCGUGGGGAGCGAACAGGAUUAGAUACCCUGGUAGUCCACGCCGUAAACGAUGAGUGCUAAGUGUUAGGGGGUUUCCGCCCCUUAGUGCUGCAGCUAACGCAUUAAGCACUCCGCCUGGGGAGUACGGUCGCAAGACUGAAACUCAAAGGAAUUGACGGGGGCCCGCACAAGCGGUGGAGCAUGUGGUUUAAUUCGAAGCAACGCGAAGAACCUUACCAGGUCUUGACAUCCUCUGACAAUCCUAGAGAUAGGACGUCCCCUUCGGGGGCAGAGUGACAGGUGGUGCAUGGUUGUCGUCAGCUCGUGUCGUGAGAUGUUGGGUUAAGUCCCGCAACGAGCGCAACCCUUGAUCUUAGUUGCCAGCAUUCAGUUGGGCACUCUAAGGUGACUGCCGGUGACAAACCGGAGGAAGGUGGGGAUGACGUCUAAUCAUCAUGCCGCUUAUGACCUGGGCUACACACGUG